CCCAGACAGCUUGACAAAUUUCAGUUAUCUUGGCAAAUUUGAUCAUUUACCAAAACAAAAGAAGGAAGAAAUGAAUCUCUAUGCUAAUAUAUGUGUCCUUCUGGCUGUUAUCCUUUUUAUCCCAACAUUGACGAGGGGUAGGGAGCUAGCAGAAAAGCUACGAACAGAAGAGAAGGGUUCCGCGAUAGAUCUAUCAGACGACGAUUAUCCUCGUUGUCAUUAUUGUGGAGACUACGACUACUACUGCGAUCGCCGCCGCUGCAGACCUCCAACACCAGCACGGACUCCCCCAGCCCCACCACCAGCCCCAGUACCGAGUCCCCCACCCCCAGCACCCGUACUGAGUCCCCCACCCCCGGCCCAACCGAUAAAGCCGCCAUGCCAUAUUACACCCCCAGCACCCGUACUGAGUCCCCCACCCCACUUCCGACCGAUACAUCCAUGCCAUAUGUAUGGUACUGAAUUUCGCUGCUCACCCCACUCACCCCCACAUGGGUGGCACCCCACUCCAACACAGACAUGACCAAGGCUAGCUGAACCCUAGCCUGCUGUGCUGCCAGUGAUCUUUGAUCUGCAGAACUAAUGGCAUGUGGCUUUGAUUUUAUCCAAUAAUCAAGUAGUUGUGUUACUAUGGCUACUGUUACUCCUACUGUAAUGAACUGAAGAUAUAUCAUUAAUCCAGAAUGAACCACUGGUUUAAUUAGCUAUUGCUUCAUGAAUAUGUAGAAUACUUUUCGAGUUA